GGCCCAAGCCAGAGUGCUAGGGUUAGGGCGGAGAGGCCCUGAUUCAAGUGCCUAACAUGGGCCUUGUGCUGGACAUCGUUUGCUGGGUGGAUAAAAUGGAAUGAAGCAGACAAGCCCUAAGCCUAAGAGCUCAGCUAGAGCAAAGCUGCAGCAUUGAGAAGACACAGCAAGCUCUUACCUCCCAGUAGGUGACCAGCAGAACCAGGAAGCCACCUGUUAUUCAAGGUGAUUCUUGGAUUUACUUAAUUGUAACCAGUUCAUCCAGUUCCAUGAUAACAAGUGGUGGAAAUUGCUUUGGUUACAUGAAGUCAAUCAAUUUCUCCAUUAUUCAGUGUGAUUCCUCUAACAACAUACUGAUAUCUACUGUGUGUUAGGAUGAAUCAGUUGUAUUGUCUCUGCUUCCAGUGUAUGUGUUAGGAGGUAUUUGAUGUGCAAACAUGUCCAUGAUUAUCAGUAUGUGAUGCCUGCUACCACAUCCUUGAAGAG
rnacentral:lncRNA from 1 species